AGUGAACGCUGGCGGUAGGCCUAACACAUGCAAGUCGAACGGCAGCACAGUAAGAGCUUGCUCUUACGGGUGGCGAGUGGCGGACGGGUGAGGAAUACAUCGGAAUCUCCUUUUUCGUGGGGGAUAACGUAGGGAAACUUACGCUAAUACCGCAUACGACCUACGGGUGAAAGCAGGGGAUCUUCGGACCUUGCGCGAUUGAUUGAGCCGAUGUCGGAUUAGCUAGUUGGCGGGGUAAAGGCCCACCAAGGCGACGAUCCGUAGCUGGUCUGAGAGGAUGAUCAGCCACACUGGAACUGAGACACGGUCCAGACUCCUACGGGAGGCAGCAGUGGGGAAUAUUGGACAAUGGGCGCAAGCCUGAUCCAGCCAUACCGCGUGGGUGAAGAAGGCCUUCGGGUUGUAAAGCCCUUUUGUUGGGAAAGAAAAGCAGCAGGUUAAUACCCCGCUGUUCUGACGGUACCCAAAGAAUAAGCACCGGCUAACUUCGUG
rnacentral:rRNA from 1 species